CAGCUUCUCCUCCCGCCCUCCAAGAUCUAAACCGAGAAUCGAAACUAAGCUGGGGUCCAUGCAGCAGGAGCCUGCACCCGAACGACCUCCGGUGCCCCAGCAGGACCCCACCCGGCCCCACGCGCCCACCAUGCCUCCCCCCGACACCCCCUCUGAAGGCCGCCAGCCCAGCCCCAGCCACAGCCCUGCAGAACAAGCCACGGAGGAGUUCCAGUUUCUGCGCUGCCAGAAAUGCCAGGCCAAAGCCAAGUGCCCGAAGCUGCUGCCUUACCUGCACACGCUGUGCUCGGGAUGCCUGGAGGCGUCGGGCAUGCAAUGCCCUAUCUGCCAGGCGCCCUGGACGCCAGGUGCAGACACACCUGCACUGGAUAACGUCUUUUUCGAGAGUCUGCAGCGGCGCCUGUCGGUGUACCGGCAGAUCGUGGAUGCACAGGCUGUGUGCACCCGCUGCAAAGAGUCAGCCGACUUCUUGUGCUUUGAGUGCGAGCAGCUCCUCUGCGCCAAGUGCUUCGAGGCACACCAAUGUUUCCUCAAGCACGAGGCCUGGCCCCUGGCAGAGCUGCGCAACCAGUCGGUGCGUGAGUUCCUGGACGGCACCCGCAAGACCAACAACAUCUUCUGCUCUAACCCCAACCACCGCACCCCUAUGCUGACCAGCAUCUACUGCCGCGACUGUUCCAAGCCGCUGUGCUGCUCGUGCGUGCUCUUUGACAGCGGCCACACCGAGCUAAAGUGCGACAUCAGCGCGGAGAUCCAGCAGCGACCCGAGGAGCUGGAUGCCAUGACGCAGGCGCUGCAGGAGCAGGACUGCGCCUUCGGUGGGGCGCACGCGCAGAUGCACGCGGCCGUCGGCCAGCUGGGCCGCGUGCGGGCGGAAACCGAGGAGCUGAUCCGCGCGGGCAUGCGCCAGGUAGUAGCUCACGGGCAGGCGCAGGAGACCGAGCUGCUGGAGGCGGUGGAGGCGCGGUAGCAGCGCGACUACGAGGAGAUGGCCAGCCGGCUGGGCCGCCUGGACGCUGUGCUACAGCGCAUCCGCACGGGCAGCGCGCUCGUGCAGAGGAUGAAGUGCUAUGCCUCGGACUAGGAGGUGCUGGAGAUGCACGGUUUCCUGCGCCAGGCACUCUGCCGUCUGCGCUAGGAGGAGCCCCAGAGCCAGCAAGCUGCCUUGCGCACGGAUGGCUUCGACGAGUUCAAGGUGCGCCUGCAGGACCUCAUCUCUUACAUCACCCAGGGGACAGAUGCAGCUGUAUCCAAGAAAGCCAGGCCAGAGGCUGCCAGCACUCCCAGGGACCCUAUUGAUGUUGACCUGCCCGAGGAGGCAGAGAGAGUGAAGGCCCAGGACCAGGCCCUGGGGCUGGCUGAAGCCCAACCUGUGGCUGUGGUACAGUCAUUCCCCGGGGCACACCUCGUGCCAGUGUACGCCUUCUCCAUCAAAGGCCCUUCCUACAGAGAGGAGGUCUCCAAUACAACCACAGGCCAGAAAAGGAAGAUCAUUCAGACCCAGCGCCUCAGGAAGGUCAUCCAGGAGUCUGAGGAGGGUAAGGAGGCGAGGUUGGCUCGGAGCUCCCCCGAGCAGCCCAGGCGUAGCACCUCUAAGGCAGUCUCACCACCCCACUUGGAUGGGCCGCCCAGCGCCGGGACCCCCGACAUGGGAAGUGAGGCCAUCCCACCCAACAGCAACCAUGUGGCCAGUGGCGCCGGGGAGGCAGAGGAGUGCAUUGUGGUGAUCAGCAGCUCAGAAGACUCAGAUGCCGAAAACUCGUGCAUGGAGCCCACGGAGACCGCCAAGCCACAGUCCUCGCCAGCCCAGUCCCUGCUGAGAACACAAGAAGCCUCCAUCCUGCCGCGUGGUACAUGCCAUCUGCCGGCUUCGCCUCCCCACUAGCCCACUGAGGUUCCCGACGCUGAACCUCAGAGCCAGCCUGCCAAUCACCAGGAGCACCCUGCCGUCCACCGUGGGAUCCGUCACCUGUUGUGCAGAGCACAGAGAGCCAUCCACCUUCGCCAUGCCCUCCACUUGCACCCUUGAUUGCAUCGGGCCCGCCUUCCGACUUGGUCUCACCACGUGGUUUAGGCCAACACUCCUGCCACCACAGGGCCCCUCAACCAUCCUGCCAGUGCCCAGGAACAUCCUGCCCAGCUGCAAAGGGCCAUCAGCCCACCCCGCCGGAUACGAGGGGCCAUGAGAUCCCGAAGCCGCUUCCUCCGGGGCUCCUCUCAUUUAUCCCAGUGGCUCAACCACUUCUUUGCCCUCCCCCUCUCCAUGGCUCCCCAGCUUGACACUUCUUCCAUGCUGGGGGCAGGGGGAGGCAGAGCCCAGACUCUUGGAGCAGGUGUUACCCCUGGGGAUUCUGACAGAGGCCCCAUGGAAGCCCCUCAAGUCCAAGUUCCUCGGGAAGCCUCUCCAAUUACAAUCCCACCACCCUGUUCCCCAGAAAAACCUCGCAUCAGCCCAGUCCCAGGGCCCUGUCAAGCAGGCCUCUGAGCGUGCCACUCCUCUCUUGUAACCUUGCAGCCAACACCCCUGCCCAGCCCCUGAGCUGCCUCCUCCAGCCCAUGCUCUUACAGGCCCUGGAGAGUAGGCAUUCAUUAAUUGUUGGUUAAAGAAUGAAUGAGUGAAUGGCUAUGCAUGGACCUCUGGGUAGGGAGACUUGGGUCUUCUCUGGCUGAGAGGGGAAGGCUAAGGCAUGGCUGAGAUUCAGGCCACCCUCCCAGGCCUCUUUGCCCAAGAAGGAAGCUUCUCUCACACCUGCACCCUCCUGUGUUCUGAGUCCCUGGCCAAUAGCACAGCCCUCCAUGCCCUGACCCCCACCCCAAGCCUUUCCACAGGGCCUUUGCUAGGACCUAAGCCCAUGAGCACAGGGACUGGCUAUCCCAAGACCUGGUAGACAUGGCUGCUCAAAAAACACUUGUUGAACGAU